UAGGGAAUCUUCGGCAAUGGACGAAAGUCUGACCGAGCAACGCCGCGUGAGUGAAGAAGGUUUUCGGAUCGUAAAACUCUGUUGUUAGAGAAGAACGUUGCAUAGAGUGGAAAAUUAUGCAAGUGACGGUAUCUAACCAGAAAGGGACGGCUAACUACGUGCCAGCAGCCGCGGUAAUACGUAGGUCCCGAGCGUUGUCCGGAUUUAUUGGGCGUAAAGCGAGCGCAGGUGGUUUAAUAAGUCUGAUGUAAAAGGCAGUGGCUCAACCAUUGUGUGCAUUGGAAACUGUUAGACUUGAGUGCAGUAGAGGAGAGUGGAAUUCCAUGUGUAGCGGUGAAAUGCGUAGAUAUAUGGAGGAACACCGGUGGCGAAAGCGGCUCUCUGGACUGUCACUGACACUGAGGCUCGAAAGCGUGGGUAGCAAACAGGAUUAGAUACCCUGGUAGUCCACGCCGUAAACGAUGAGUGCUAGUUG
rnacentral:rRNA from 1 species